rnacentral:rRNA from 1 species
CACUCCUGCGGGAGGCAGCAGUGGGGAAUAUUGGACAAUGGGCGCAAGCCUGAUCCAGCCAUGCCGCGUGAGUGAUGAAGGCCCUAGGGUUGUAAAGCUCUUUCACCGGUGAAGAUAAUGACGGUAACCGGAGAAGAAGCCCCGGCUAACUUCGUGCCAGCAGCCGCGGUAAUACGAAGGGAGCUAGCGUUGUUCGGAUUUACUGGGCGUAAAGCGCACGUAGGCGGACUAUUAAGUCAGGGGUGAAAUCCCGGGGCUCAACCCCGGAACUGCCUUUGAUACUGGUAGUCUUGAGUUCGAGAGAGGUGAGUGGAAUUCCGAGUGUAGAGGUGAAAUUCGUAGAUAUUCGGAGGAACACCAGUGGCGAAGGCGGCUCACUGGCUCGAUACUGACGCUGAGGUGCGAAAGCGUGGGGAGCAAACAGGAUUAGAUACCCUAGUAGUCCC